rnacentral:rRNA from 1 species
AGAGUUUGAUCCUGGCUCAGAUUGAACGCUGGCGGUAUGCUUUACACAUGCAAGUCGAACGGCAGCACGGGGCAACCUGGUGGCGAGUGGCGAACGGGUGAGUAACAUAUCGGAACAUGUCCGGAAGUGGGGGAUAACGUAGCGAAAGUUACGCUAAUACCGCAUAUGCCCCGAGGGGGAAAGGGGGGGAUCGCAAGACCUCUCGCUUUCGGAGUGGCCGAUAUCGGAUUAGCUAGUAGGCGAGGUAAAGGCUCACCUAGGCGACGAUCCGUAGCUGGUCUGAGAGGACGACCAGCCACACUGGAACUGAGACACGGUCCAGACUCCUACGGGAGGCAGCAGUGGGGAAUUUUGGACAAUGGGGGCAACCCUGAUCCAGCCAUACCGCGUGAGUGAAGAAGGCCUUCGGGUUGUAAAGCUCUUUCGGCAGGAAAGAAAUCGUGCAGGCUAAUAUCCUGUAUGGAUGACGGUACCUGAAGAAGAAGCACCGGCUAACUACGUGCCAGCAGCCGCGGUAAUACGUAGGGUGCGAGCGUUAAUCGGAAUUACUGGGCGUAAAGCGUGCGCAGGCGGUUCCGUAAGACAGAUGUGAAAUCCCCGGGCUUAACCUGGGAACUGCAUUUGUGACUGCGAGACUAGAGUGUAGCAGAGGGGGGUAGAAUUCCACGUGUAGCAGUGAAAUGCGUAGAUAUGUGGAGGAAUACCGAUGGCGAAGGCAGCCCCCUGGGCUAACACUGACGCUCAUGCACGAAAGCGUGGGGAGCAAACAGGAUUAGAUACCCUGGUAGUCCACGCCCUAA